UACGUAGGGUGCAAGCGUUGUCCGGAAUUAUUGGGCGUAAAGAGCUCGUAGGCGGUUUGUCACGUCCGCUGUGAAAACUGGAGGCUCAACCUCCAGCCUGCAGUGGGUACGGGCAGACUAGAGUGCGGUAGGGGAGAUUGGAAUUCCUGGUGUAGCGGUGGAAUGCGCAGAUAUCAGGAGGAACACCGAUGGCGAAGGCAGAUCUCUGGGCCGUAACUGACGCUGAGGAGCGAAAGCAUGGGGAGCGAACAGG
rnacentral:rRNA from 1 species